AAAAAUGAAGCAAAUUUGCAAUCAGUUUCGACCUGACCUACUGGUUUAUCCCAUUUUUA
rnacentral:tRNA from 1 species